UUUCAAUAGGAAGCUCAAUCUUUGUUGACAAAAAGUGCUCAAUUUAGGGAGGUCUGGAAGGGAACGUCCUACAGCCAAAAAGUCACAAGGGGAAAUUAGUCAAAUUGGUAAUUUUCCUGUUUAUUUGUUCAAAGUAAUCAGUAUAAAUAAUACAAAUUAAUAGUUCUUUGUUUUGUUUUUACACAUAUGUUCAAUGGUAUACACUGGAGAUCAAAAUAAGGGAACAAUUUAUAAACACUAGAUUCUUUUCUGAAAUAUUGUUAAUCUUCAUUGCUAAAAAAAUUAACGAAUAUUAGCUGUGGGUACAACACUCUUCUACUUACAUGUUUUACAAAAUAACCAAGGCAUUUCACCAAAAACCUUUAUUUUGUGGGAAAACUGAUCAAAAUAGACCCUUUCUGCAGCCGCUGGACAUCACGAGUUUCUCCCACUGCCAUGAUGUGAUUUGGUCCUCUCUUCUUCCAGUGUCUUCCACAGUUCAGUAACUGUAUCUAAUUUACAAUUUUACGGAUGACAAGUUAUCUACCAGAACAAAUUUGCCCUGCUGUACUAAAGACUUGGUUCACAUGCCGCAGAGGCAGGCAACGGCGUGUUGAGCUUAAAGGACAAAUUGUUAACUGUGGGCACUGACUUUAGGGUGUCUAUGGAGGUAGCUGAGUUCCCCAGGUAGGCAUCCAGUUGUGCUGUGGUUUCCCGGACGUUUCCCUUCAUAAGGCCAAAGGAGUCCUCCUCCUCUGACCCAGAAUUACUAACUGGUGAUGCGACUGGCUCAUCCUCUAUGUAUUCCUUGAUGUAGUCCAUGCCUACACAGAACAACCCCAACACAGAAUAAAGGAAACAUUAUUUUAAGAAUAAUGUUUGUCUCUAUAACCAUCAUGAUAAUCGUGAUAACUAUGGCUUUGGUCUUUUUUCUCCUAGUGACUAUAACAUAUUUUUGGAUCAACUUUUUGGAACCAGAUAGGUCCUUUGCCAGGCUUACUUUCCAAUUGAACACUUGCCAAUUAAAUAACCAUUUAAAUUACUUACCCACCUUCAGCAAGUCCUCAUUGCUUGUCCACGAUGUGCAAUGAGCUCAGGGUCAGCAAGCAUGUCUCCAAACUGCUGCUGUAUUCCUUCUUGAAGGGCAGUAAUCAGUGGCUGGCAGAACUUGGAUGAUGUUUUGAGGCGGCCAAACAUCAGUUUGGAUGGUUAUAGUGGGCACCAGCCAUUCCACGUGAACAUCCACCUGUCCCCACAAUAUGUUGAGUGCCUUGUAGAUUGGGUUCAUGGUUGACGCGUAUUCAAUCAAGAAAGCAAGUUCUGCAGGGCUGAACCAGUAAUUUACAAUAUCAGAAUAUGCAGAAUGUCAUUAAGAGAUAUAUUAGAAUUAUUUCACAUACCUAGAUAUACACACUGAUAUUACACAAGUGAAUAUUUGGAAUAUUCAGCUAUUAUUAAUAUUUCAACAUGCAUAAGCAUAUGUAACCCCCUUGAUUUCAUCUGCGUUGUGUAGUUUUACAAAGAAGGCAGGAGACAUGUGUCCUGUUCAUCAGUUUAUUCACCUAGCACAAAUGACAAUGAGUUGGGACUCCGUAGUGCAGUAGCGUGGAUCACAACAUUAUAUGCGUGACUCUAAUCCUCCGAACUCUGAUGUUGUCAAUACAAGUUGAAUUACAAAGUACAAUAUCCAAUGGAAAUAACAAAAUACCAUGGAAAUAUUCAAAGACAAUACAAAACAUGUACCUGGCAGAAAUGACAUCUCCGUAAUGCAGUAGCAUGAAUCACAACAUUUUAUGCUAAUGUAAGAGAGAUGAAAUAUUGGCUAUCCACACUGUUAUUUUGAACUUCGAUAAUAUAUACAUUCAGAUGUGCAUAAUUACUAAAACAAAAGCACUAUUUACAUAAAGACAGAAUGUGGAACACCUUUUCAUAAUCAGUAUGGAUUUCGGACGUUCAGUCAUUGCAUUCUAAAAUAAUAGUGUAGGAGCUCUCUUUAUACACAACUCACCGUGACUCUAAUCCUCCAAACUCUUGAGGAGACCACUCAUUUCAACAUGCAUAUCCCUUAGAGCUCACUAUUUCCCCAACAGCAUGACUUAUGCACAUGCUCAGUAUGAUUUAAUAGCACAUAAAAGGAUGUAAGUGAAAGAAACCAAAUCUUUUUUCUCACAAUACAAUCUCACAAUCCAUCACUGUUAUACAUCUGAAAAUAAUACCAAUUCCAACCAAAAUGUUUAUGCAAGAUUCUGUUCAGUUGCAGAAAACUGUUAAAAUAUGAAAUUGUGGCCUGUCAUAAUUAGGUAUAGGCAUGGCUGAUGAGCUAUAAGUGUUCUAAAUUAUUUAAAUAAUAAUAGGAUACUCUACUGCAGUUGACUUGAGUGAGGUGUACAUGAUUAGUCAACUACAAUAUUACUACACCCAUAUUAUAUUUACAUGUAUUCAUUUAGCAGACGCUUUUAUCCAAAGCGACUUCCAAGAGAGAGCUUUACA